UACUAUACCUCAAUAACCGCUGAACAUAAAUAAUUAAUAUCGGGUUGAAAGAAAACAAAAUGCCGAUCUUUAACGUCAAUCAAAAUGCAAAACUGACGUUAAAGAUCAAAUUUUAAUGUAGGAACAAGGUCGGUGCACAGAUCCUGUUAAAUUGCUGGGUCUCAAGAAUCAUUGCGUUCUAGCCUUACACUAGAAGGAGAGAGAAUUAAGCAAGAGUGCCAGUGUGUUUGGAGUCUCAGUUGAAUCAAUGCAAUGCUCUACUGAUUCAAGAGGAAAUAGUGUACCAACAAUACUUUUGCUAAUGCAGGAUCGAUUGUACCAAAAUCGAGGUCUCAAGGUACGUGAGAUUCAUCCAUGCGCUAUGAAAGAGCAAGGUACGGUUGGAGGCAAUUUCAGCUCAAAAGCUAAUGUGUUUGGAAAUGGUCCUAAUGUGUAACUUCCACGAAAGUUAGAAUUGUACUAGAAAUGUUUCUUGGGAGUACUGAAAUGUAAAUAUUAGUUUAUUAAUAUACAAGUUCUGAGCAUAAUAGAAACAGUUUUGUUGGAA